rnacentral:sRNA from 12 species
AGCAGGCAAGCGCGGGGUGCUCACCAGGUCGUCCGACGAGGACGGCAGCCCGUGAGGGUGGGAUCCUGGGUCCCCGGGGCCUGCUUGUCU